GAUGAACGCUGGCGGCGUGCCUAAUACAUGCAAGUAGAACGCUGAAGGAGGAGCUUGCUCUUCUGGAUGAGUUGCGAACGGGUGAGUAACGCGUAGGUAACCUGCCUGGUAGCGGGGGAUAAUUAUUGGAAACGAUAGCUAAUACCGCAUGACAACAGUUAUUGCAUGAUAACUGUUUAAAAGGGGCAACUGCUCCACUACCAGAUGGACCUGCGUUGUAUUAGCUAGUUGGUGAGGUAACGGCUCACCAAGGCGACGAUACAUAGCCGACCUGAGAGGGUGAUCGGCCACACUGGGACUGAGACACGGCCCAGACUCCUACGGGAGGCAGCAGUAGGGAAUCUUCGGCAAUGGACGGAAGUCUGACCGAGCAACGCCGCGUGAGUGAAGAAGGUUUUCGGAUCGUAAAGCUCUGUUGUAAGAGAAGAACGAGUGUGAGAGUGGAAAGUUCACACUGUGACGGUAUCUUACCAGAAAGGGACGGCUAACUACGUG
rnacentral:rRNA from 1 species